rnacentral:lncRNA from 1 species
AAGCAAGAACGAGAAGGUGAAGAUGCUCUUGUUCGUAGCACGAAGAAGAAGAAGGUAAUUCUCUCUGGUUCCCCUAGCUGCUUUUGUUUUGGCAAAGUCAGACGGGUAAUUCUCCGUCGUGACAUUGCCCUUAAGAUAAAAGAUCUGAAUGGUAGGUUAAGUGCGAUUGAUGAGCAAAGAAAAAGGUAUGAGUUUCAACACAUAUAAAGAGGUAUUCAAGAUUUACCUGAAUGGCAGAAGACUUCGUCUUUUGUCGUCAUGUCAGAGGUAUUUGGUCGAGAAAAGGAAAAAGACAUUCUGAUAACAAAGUUAUUGAGUGAUGGUGGAAAAGAUCAGAGGGGACUCCUUAUCAUCCCUAUUCUAG